rnacentral:hammerhead_ribozyme from 1 species
GGCCAGCUGACGAGUCCCAAAUAGGACGAAAUGCGCAUCCUGGAU